CACAGAAACACACACCUUGCAUCCCUUACACAUACAAACACAGAUUUACACAAUGCAUCCCUUACACACAAACACACACUGAAUCCCCUAUACACACACACACUACAUCCUUUACACAAACUGGUAUCCCUCUACACUACAUUCCAUAAGAACACACUCACAUUACAUCCUCUACAAUAACACAUCCCCUACACACAUACACUCCACUCCCUGUGAGCAAACUCAUGGGUGGGCCUUGAAGGCAUAAGGCUUAUGGGCGGGCCUUGUAGACAUACUCACGGUCAGGCCCUGUAAGGGCCCCAAAAAAAUGGAGCUGGG